CUCCGCCGGCGACCGGCGCACGGGUGAGUAACACGUAUGCAACCUGCCCCUGUCAGGGGGACAACCCGCCGAAAGGCGGGCUAAACCCGCGUACAUGCCACCGGGGCAUCCCGGAGGCAGGAAAGGCUUCGGCCGGACAGGGAUGGGCAUGCGGCGCAUUAGGCAGUAGGCGGGGUAACGGCCCACCAAGGCGACGAUGCGUAGGGGUUCUGAGAGGAAGGUCCCCCACACUGGUACUGAGACACGGACCAGACUCCUACGGGAGGCAGCAG
rnacentral:rRNA from 1 species